AACGAACGCUGGCGGCAGGCCUAACACAUGCAAGUCGAGCGCCCCGCCAGGGGGGCGGCGGACGGGUGAGUAACGCGUGGGAAUAUGCCCUUUGCUACGGAAUAGUCUCGGGAAACUGGGGGUAAUACCGUAUACGCCCUUUGGGGGAAAGAUUUAUCGGCGAAGGAUUAGCCCGCGUUGGAUUAGGUAGUUGGUGGGGUAAUGGCCUACCAAGCCGACGAUCCAUAGCUGGUUUGAGAGGAUGAUCAGCCACACUGGGACUGAGACACGGCCCAGACUCCUACGGGAGGCAGCAGUGGGGAAUCUUAGACAAUGGGGGCAACCCUGAUCUAGCCAUGCCGCGUGAGUGAUGAAGGCCUUAGGGUUGUAAAGCUCUUUCAGCUGGGAAGAUAAUGACGGUACCAGCAGAAGAAGCCCCGGCUAACUCCGUG
rnacentral:rRNA from 1 species